AUACUCGCAUGGGAGAUACCAUGAUCAUGAAGGUGGUUUUCCCAGGGCGAGGCUUAUCCAUUGUAUUCAGGAUGUGCUGACCCCUGUGAUUUCUCAUAAUGUGAGAAACCCAACUGCAUAAUUUAUGGUAGUGGGGGACAGCAUUUACACUCUCCCCUG